CCAUAGCUCACAUUCGAGCAGCUCUCCAUGCUGUGUCUGAAGAUUGUUAAAGUCGUGACCCAGACAGCCCUCCGCAUUCUCCUACCAGCGCUAGCUCGUAUCAUGGGGGUGAACCUGAGGAGUGGGGCAACCUCCCCAGAAUCCCAGUGCUCUGAGGAUUCCUUAGACAGUCUGGAUGAGAGAGAGAAAAGGCUGCUGAUCAGUGAGAUGAACUACUGGACCAAGGAGAGGAGGAGGAAUGGCAGUGCAGGGUGCCGCCAAAAAUCCACUUGCAGAACCUCAUCACCAUGCUGUUCGCCUAAGAGCGUUCCAAGAGAGGAAACAAAAAGGACUGCCAUUCAGUCCAGGAACAGACUGCGAUUCCCUCUACUGACAGACAUUGCAUAGCUCCCGUUGGAGAGGUUUCUCCCUCCAUAUCUCAGCCUGUCAAAAAACGAUCCUUGAUUGUCAGGGUCUUUUCAGCAAUGAUGAAGCCAUUCAGGCGCUUCACCAAGAAGAACCUGUAACCUGUUACGCUGCAUGAAUAACUACUUUUGUAACAGCAAGACUUUUGACAAGAGGAAUUUCUGCAUGUCUACCCUUUCAAAGUCUAUUUGAUCAAAUAAAUGCACAUU